UACGUAGGUGGCAAGCGUUGUCCGGAUUUAUUGGGUUUAAAGGGUGCGUAGGCGGCCCCAUAAGUCAGUGCUGAAAUACUCUAGCUCAACUAGAGGGGUGCCAUUGAUACUGAUGAGCUUGAGUACAGAUGAGGUAGGCGGAAUUGACGGUGUAGCGGUGAAAUGCUUAGAUAUCGUCAAGAACACCUAUAGCGAAGGUAGCUUACUAGGCUGUAACUGACGCUGAGGCACGAAAGUGUGGGGAUCAAACAGG
rnacentral:rRNA from 1 species